rnacentral:rRNA from 1 species
GAUGAACGCUGGCGGCGUGCUUAACACAUGCAAGUCGAACGGAGUUUACAUGUGAGCGGAGGGUGCUUGCAUCUAACAAUCUUUUGUAAACUUAGUGGCGAACGGGUGAGUAACGCGUGAGGAACCUGCCUCUCAGUGGGGGACAACAGUUGGAAACGACUGCUAAUACCGCAUAAUGUAUAUUGGGGGCAUCCCUAAUAUACCAAAGCUUUAUGUGCUAGAAAGAUGGUCUCGCGUCUGAUUAGCUAGAUGGCGGGGUAACGCCCACCAUGGCGACGAUCAGUAGCCGGUCUGAGAGGAUGGAACGGCCACAUUGGGACUGAGAUACGGCCAGACUCCGUACGGGAGCAGCA